CCUACGGGAGGCAGCAGUGAGGAAUAUUGGUCAAUGGACGAGAGUCUGAACCAGCCAAGUAGCGUGAAGGAUGACUGCCCUCUGGGUUGUAAACUUCUUUUAUAUGGGAAUAAAAUGUUCCACGUGUGGGAUUUUGUAUGUACCAUAUGAAUAAGGAUCGGCUAACUCCGUGCCAGCAGCCGCGGUAAUAAGGAGGAUCCGAGCGUUAUCCGGAUUGAUUGGGUGUAAAGGGAGCGUAGGUGGAUUGUUAAGUCAGUUGUGAAAGUUUGCGGCUCAACCGUAAAAUUGCAGUUGAAACUGGCAGGCUGGAGUACAGUAGAGGUGGGCGGAAUUCGUGGUGUAGCGGUGAAAUGCUUAGAUAUCACGAAGAACUCCGAUUGCGAAGGCAGCUCACUGGACUGCAACUGACACUGAGGCUCGAAAGUGUGGGUAUCAAACAGGAUUAGAUACCCUUGUAGUC
rnacentral:rRNA from 1 species